ensembl:lncRNA
CUUGGCGCUACAAAUGCCAUGCUCUACCAACUGUGGUACAAAGGACCACAUCAAUGAUGCCUGACCAAAGAUGGUGGAUAAAUAAAGAUCUCCCACUGUCAGUUCCGGUCUGCUUAACAGUGUGGCUCUCUCAUAGGCACCAAUGCAUUAGCAAAUGGGUCUGCUUAGUUCAUUGACUGUAUAUGAACCAGAAAAAAUUAGGGAGUGGGAUGUCUUGCUUCUUCUUCCGUCUCAGGCAUAGGGGUAUAGAUGGGUUAGCUGACAAUGUCACACAAAUUAUGUGUGCACUUCCAUGGGGCAGAGGUCAGUGUGUUGUUGUGAUUUUGGAUGGCCAGAUUGCUGGUAAGAAUUACAAGAACUAGCUCUCUUUCUCACUUUCUUGCUUCUCCAUAAUUUUGGAAGAAAUUAUUAUUUUUCUCACUUUGAGUCAAAUACUCACCACAUUUUAUGCACUGCAGUGCUAGCUAGCUGUAACUUAUGAUUUCAGUACUAGAUAAAUUCUCUCAACCUUUGAUUGGGUGGACAACAUGUCAGUUUAUGCUGCAAGAACUCUGAUAGGUUGGAGGACGUCCUGUGUUUUAUGUUGAAGUCAACAGUAUGUUGAUGUCAUGUAUCAACAGUCUGUUGCCUUGCUGUACCAGUGAGGGUGAAGUCACUACAGUACACACAGUACUGAGCUGGUCAUUUGUGUGGAAGGAAGGACAGCUUGCUUUGGUGUGUGUGUGUGUGGAUAUCCAGGUGUGUAUGGGGGAGAAAGAACAAAGACCGGUGAGGGAGAACAAUAGCACACAACGGUGUAUGUAUAUGUGUGUGUGUGUGUGUGUGUGUGUGGUGGUAACAUCUGGUGCUUGUGGUGUGGUGAGCCCUCAGGCCUGGUGAUAAAUGAUACCUCUCACUGCCAACCUGUCAGCAAGGACCCAGCCAGCCAACGAGGACAGAGCAUAUACACUCUGUUAUAAAGACUACCAAACCUAUACUGCAGAUGGAGUGGGGAGGGAUAUUGCUCAGAUAUAGCUGAUUCAUGCCAGAAAUGACAAAGCCUGGAUAGGUAUUUUACGUAUCAGCUAACCACAUUAUGCUAUAGAAUAUUCUGGGAGAGCCCUGCACUGGCAUGAAUUUUAAGCCCGAAUCAUACCCAUGCCCGUGAUAUUCAAGCCUGCGACAUUUAUAAUCUACCCAGGCCCAUGACAUUCAUUACCGACCCAGGCCCACGACAUUCAUUAUCUACCCAGGCCCACGACAUUCAUUAUCUACCCAGGCCCACGACAUUCAUUACCGACCCAGGCCCGCGACAUUCAUUACCUACCCAGGCCCACGACAUUCAUUACCUACCCAGGCCCACGACAUCCAUUACCUACCCAGGCCCGUGACAUUCACUACCUACCCAGGCCCACGACAGUCAGGCCCGCGACAUUCAUGAUCUACCCAGGCCCACGACAUUCAUUACCUACCCAGGCCCACGACAUUCAGGCCCGCAACAUUCAUGAUCUACCCAGACCUACGACAUUCAUUACCUACCCAGGCCCACGACAUUCAUUACCUACCCAGGCCCACGACAUCCAUCACCUACCCAGGCCCGCGACAUUCACUACCUACCCAGGCCCACGACAGUCAGGCCCGCGACAUUCAUGAUCUACCCAGGCCCACGACAUUCAUUACCUACCCAGGCCCACGACAUUCAUUACCUACCCAGGCCCACGACAUUCAGGCCCCACCCGAACCAGGCCUGAUUACUUCUGCAAAUUUAAAGCCUGGCCCUGCCCGAAACCCGAAAUCAUAAAUAACGUCCUCUCUGUCUAUAACUUGCUCCCUGCGAGCAGCUCGCUCUGCAUGCACUCUGUGAGUCGAUGAGUAACCAUAGCAACAGUUCUAGUUGGGCUGUUCUGCUCAAUGACGAGACAUGAGAGAGCAUUUAGCUGUUAG